ensembl:snRNA U6 U6 spliceosomal RNA
UCGCUUGAGCAGCACAUGUACUAAAAUUGGAACGAUACAGAGAAGAUUAGCAUGGCCCCUGUGCAAGGAUGACAUGCAAAUUCGUGAAGCGUUCCAUAUUUUU